GUUCUUUUAGCUUAUCUAAAGCAUGAUAUUGAAAAUAUUAAAAUACUAAAUAAUUAGUUUAGAACA
rnacentral:tRNA from 1 species